AAAAACAAUUAGUUUUUUUCAUCUUUCUGAUAGAAAGUUAUUUAUUCUACUUAUUUUCUAUAAGUAAACCUUUAAGUGUCACACCACAAGUUUUCGAGAAGUCGAUUCAAAUAGAAGAAUUUCGUAACUCUAUCACAUUAGAUCUAACGAAACCAGUAAUGGAAACAAAUGAAAGUGAAAUUGUCGCUGAAAGAAGUAUAUACGAAUUACUAGAAUAAAAAGCAGAGGAUUCGCAAAUGAAGAUACAACAACUUCGUGAAAUACUUUGGAAGCAUACACAAAACUCUAACAUUAUUGGUAACUGGUUCCAGAUAACAAGAAUUUUGUCUAGAUGAAGAUGUAAAUGAGAGAAUUAAAUAUUAUAUAGAUAAGUUGAAUGAAAAAAAUUUUCUUAUCUAAAAAAAUUUAUCUAGGUAUUUCCCCACACUGUUGAUUUGGAUCAGGACAAUAUAGACGAAAUUCGAACGGACGAACCUGUAUUGGAUAAAGAUGAUUCCAUAAAUAAACAUUGUAAUGAUGGUAGUAUCGACAUACCCGAUUUCAGACCGAAAUUCAAUCUGAAUCCCUUGGCUAAGGAGUUCAUAUAUCUCGGUCAAGGUUUGGAUCUGAAUGUUACACAUUUAAACGAAGAUAUCUAUAAUCCCGGUACAAGUGAAUAUUUAUUAUACCUUGUGAAAAACCUUAAAUAGUUGAACACAUUCUUACUAAUAGGAUUAAAUUUUAAUAUAAAGUUACAAGAAGAUGUGUAACUAGUUACAAAUUACAAAAGUAACCGAGUUACAUAUAUGAUAUUAAUGUAUAUAACUAUGAUAUAACAUUCAAUAAAUAUACUUAGAUUAUGUU